rnacentral:rRNA from 1 species
AUUUUUAAUUGAAAUCUGGAAUGAAUGGUUGGAUGAAAUAUAAACUUUUUUAUUUUUAAAUUUUUAAUUUUAAUUAUUAGUUAAAAUUCUAAUAUAUUAUUUUGGGACGAGAAGACCCUAUAGAAUUUUAUAUUUAAUUUUAUUAUUAUAAAUUAUAAUAUAAAAAAUUGAUAAAUUUAAAAUAUUAAGUUGGGGUGAUUUUAAAAUUUUAAAAACUUUUUAAAAUUAUUUCAAUAAUAAUUGUUUUUAUGAUCUUUUAUUAUUGAUUAAUAAAUAAAAUUACCUUAGGGAUAACAGCAUAAUAUUUUUAAAGAGUUCUUAUUUUUAAAAUAAAUUAU